CCCUCCUUGCUUUUUCUUUUCUUUUAUUUUCUUCCUAAAGAUAGAGCUACUCAAAAAAUAACUAGAAAGAGAGAAACCCACUGAUUGGAUUCAAGGUGUGUUUAUGGGUCAAUGUGUGUUUAAGGCUGAUAUUCAAAAAGCAACAUAGUCACUAGAAAAUAGCAAAAGUUCUAUCCUACAGGUUCAUCAGGACAAAGACAAAAAUUCCUUAAAAUUAUCUCAAAAGAGUGAAGAAUAUCAGAAAAUGUUAACAGACUGGAUAAAAAUGUAGAUAUUCAGGAAAGUCUAAAACCAUUCAUAAUAAGCUCAAAAAUUAAAAGAAGAAAUAAACAAUCUCAAUGAACCUAGUAAAGCCACAUCCACAAGCAUAGGCCAAGUCACACAUGACAGAGAAUGACAGAUCUGAUCCCUGUCUACAGCCAGGGAAGUCUGACACCCUCGCCUGGCCCCCUUCUUGAUAGUAACACUGUGGGGGGCAGAGAGGGGUGACUUGGACUAGGAUACGUAAAGUGAAUCCGGAAAAGAGACAACCUGGAUGAUCAAGCAGGAACUGAUUUAAAGGAAUUGAUGUCUGCUGCUAAGGUGGACUUCAUUUCCCAGCCUCCUUUGUGGCUAGGUGUUGUCAUGUGACUGCGUUCUAGCCAGUGGACAAUGAGUAUGAAGCCCUGAGGGCUGAGACCACAUCUGCCUGGUUUUCUGUGGCAGCUGCAGCAUCAACACUGGCUCUUCGAAGAGUAGCAGCUGAUGAACAUUACUCCGGCAAACAAUUUUCUCUGCUAGGAACUGGAUAAAUGCAAAGGAAGGAGGGGAGAGUGUGUCAGACGGGGACCCUGCCCUACUGGAGCACACGCAUCACCACCUGGGUUAGGACGGCCUCACCCGUCCCCUGGACCUUCACCUUAUGUCCCAGAGAGGAGACAUCUGCUAGAGCAAAGAAAAUUCAUUGUCAUAUAAAACAAACAAGAAAACACACACACACAUGUGCACACACACAUACAGAAAGCAAAUAAAACAUUGUUAGAUGAUGUAAA
rnacentral:lncRNA from 1 species